ensembl:snRNA U6 U6 spliceosomal RNA
AUGCUUGUUUCAGCAGCACAUACACUAAAAUUGGAACGAUACAGAGAAGAUUCGCAUGCCACUGGGCAAGGACGACAUGCAAAUUUCUUAAAUGUUUCACAUUUUU